CCCCUAGAUGUUCUGGGCCGCACGCGCGCUACACUGAACAGUUCAACAAGUCUUAACCUUGGCCGAUAGGUCUGGGUAAUCUUUGAACGCUGUUCGUGAUUGGGAUAGACCUUUGCAAUUAUGGGUCUUCAACGAGGAAUUCCUAGUAAACGCAAGUCAUCAGCUUGCAUUGAUUACGUCCCUGCCCUUUGUACACACCGCCCGUCGCACCUACCGAUUGAAUGGUCCGGUGAAAUCUCGGGACGGCGGCUUGGUCGCUUGCGUCCGACUGCUGAACCUUGAUUAAACCAUAUCAUUUAGAGGAAGGUGAAGUCGUAACA
rnacentral:rRNA from 1 species